AAACCAACAGGGAUUGCCUUAGUAACGGCGAGUGAAGCGGCAAAAGCUCAAAUUUGAAAUCUGGCACUUUCAGUGUCCGAGUUGUAAUUUGAAGAAGGUAACUCUGGAGUUGGCCCUUGUCUAUGUUCCUUGGAACAGGACGUCACAGAGGGUGAGAAUCCCGUGCGAUGGGGUGUCCAAUUCUAUGUAGAGUGCUUUCGAAGAGUCGAGUUGUUUGGGAAUGCAGCUCUAAGUGGGUGGUAAAUUCCAUCUAAAGCUAAAUAUUGGCGAGAGACCGAUAGCGAACAAGUACAGUGAUGGAAAGAUGAAAAGAACUUUGAAAAGAGCGUGAAAAAGUACGUGAAAUUGUUGAAAGGGAAGGGCUUGAGAUCAGACUCGGUAUUUGCGAUCCUAUCCUUCGUGAGAGGUUUCACUUGCAGCUUACCGGGCCAGCAUCGGUUUGGAUGGUAGGAUAAUGACAUUGGAAUGUGGCUUUUCGGAGUGUUAUAGCCUUUGUUGAUACUGU
rnacentral:rRNA from 1 species